CGUGGGGAACCUGCCCCAUAGUNUGGGAUACCACUUGGAAACAGGUGCUAAUACCGGAUAAGAAAGCAGAUCGCAUGAUCAGCUUUUAAAAGGCGGCGUAAGCUGUCGCUAUGGGAUGGCCCCGCGGUGCAUUAGCUAGUUGGUAAGGUAAAGGCUUACCAAGGCGAUGAUGCAUAGCCGAGUUGAGAGACUGAUCGGCCACAUUGGGACUGAGACACGGCCCAAACUCCUACGGGAGGCAGCAGCC
rnacentral:rRNA from 1 species